GGACGUCCGACGGUUUGGUGGCAAUUCCUCCGCAAUCUUCACCGCAGGUUCACGUGUGUGCUUUCCUUUGGGGUGGCUCUGUUCAGCUCUUCUGUGUGCCGGAGUGCCGAGGCCCGAAGUGGGGACACAAUUGAGCGACAGUUUUUCGAUGUGAUCGCGCCCCCGGAAAGGGGUUGAGGGAUGACUUCUGUGGUGGUGCAUUGACGUGUGCCAGGUGGACUGUGAGUCUCGUUCUCAUGCUCCCUAAUUGGAUUUCCAAUAACAGUCUGAUUACCAGCAAUUGGCACAUUGUAACACUGGCAAUUCUUCCGUGUAUGUGUGUUUAAUCCAUAAAGUGAAUUUAUUUCAUCUAAUCCUGCACUGCAGCUAUUGAUCUUCGCGGCAUUCUUACACUGACCAGAGCGACAGAAGAAAGAGGAUUGUAAAGUGUUUGUAAAGCCGAGUGAUUAUCGUCAGAUUAAUUGCAAACCAAAUAUAUUGUGAAAGUUUCUCCGUCAUAAUGAGGCAGAAGUUUUAGGGCUGCAGGAGAAAUCAGCGAGACAAACUUCAAUUUCUGGAUUAAUUAGCAUUCUCAUGGAAAUUUUUACUUAAUGACUUGAGAAAGAUGGUCGUCAGCUGCCCGAGAUGAAGAUGGCAAAUAAGAUUAUACUUCUGCUGCUGAGUCUCCUACUGAAGCACACAAUCCAGCAUCCAUCCAACGCCAGCGAGAGUGCCGAUGUCUGGCCCACGGAGACGGAUUCUGAGACGGAAUUGGGG